rnacentral:rRNA from 1 species
AACCAUGCCCUUCGGGGCUCCUUGGUGAUUCAUAAUAACUUAACGAAUCGCAUGGCCUUGUGCCGGCGAUGGUUCAUUCAAAUUUCUGCCCUAUCAACUUUCGAUGGUAGGAUAGUGGCCUACCAUGGUUUCAACGGGUAACGGGGAAUUAGGGUUCUAUUCCGGAGAGGGAGCCUGAGAAACGGCUACCACAUCCAAGGAAGGCAGCAGGCGCGCAAAUUACCCAAUCCCGACACGGGGAGGUAGUGACAAUAAAUACUGAUACAGGGCUCUUUUGGGUCUUGUAAUUGGAAUGAGUACAAUUUAAAUCCCUUAACGAGGAACAAUUGGAGGGCAGGUCUGGUGCCAGCAGCCGCGGUAAUUCCAGCUCCAAUAGCGUAUAUUAAAGUUGUUGCAGUUAAAAAGCUCGUAGUUGAACCUUGGGCCUGGCUGGCCGGUCCGCCUCACCGCGAUCACUGGUCCGGCCGGGCCUUUCCUUCUGGGGAGCCGCAUGCCCUUCACUGGGUGUGUCGGGGAACCAGGACUUUUAC